rnacentral:rRNA from 1 species
UACGGGGGGGGCAAGCGUUGUUCGGAAUUACUGGGCGUAAAGGGCUCGUAGGCGGCCAACUAAGUCGGACGAUGAAUCCCGUCGGCUUAACCGGGAACUGCGUCCGAUACUGGAUGGCGUUGAGUUCGGGAGAGGGAUGCGGAAUUCCAGGUGUAGCGGUGAAAUGCGUAGAUAGUCUGGAGGAACACCGGUGGCGAAGGCGGCAUCCUGGACCGACGACUGACGCUGACGGAGCGAAAGCCAGGG